rnacentral:misc_RNA from 1 species
AAACGCAUAAACCAGACAAAUGGCAACUUCUUCAGCUGGGGACUAAGGGCAAAUAUUUCCACAGAAACCACCAUUGCGGGGCCUUCGCUGCCCUCAACUUUUACUCCAACCGGCAAUUACUAACCGGUAAACGAACGUUUUCAUAUUUUCAUAUUUUUCCCCUUCCAGCCCCCAACCCCAACCCUUCCUUACCAAAGAGCCUACAUUGCCCUCCUACUCUCAACUAACUCUGUCGGCUCAGCCCAAGCUGACCCGAAAUAUAGGAUUAUUAGAGAAAAUGGUGUACGACUCCGAGCUAAUCAAGAGGCUAAGAGAGUUUUUACGAAAUUCGGACCUCAACACGACGACUACUGGUAUCAUACGUCAGAAGCUGGAGGAAGAUUUCGGCGUCGAUUUAUCAGAUAGGAAGGCGCAGAUAGGAAGGCGUUUAUAAGGGAACAGGUUGAUUUGUUUCUCCAAAGCCAGUUUGAGGAACAUAGCAAAAACGAAGAACUAGAAGUUGGAGAUGAAGAAGAUGAUCUAUUGGUUGACGUUAAAUCAGAGGAAGCCGGCCGCUCUGAUUCCAAGGAGGACGGUGGUGAUGGUGAAGAAGAAGAAGAAG